rnacentral:rRNA from 1 species
UACGAAGGGGGCUAGCGUUGCUCGGAAUCACUGGGCGUAAAGGGUGCGUAGGCGGACAGGUAAGUCAGUGGUGAAAUCUCUGGGCUUAACCCAGAAACUGCCGUUGAUACUAUUUGUCUUGAAUAUCCUGGAGGUAGGCGGAAUAUGUCAUGUAGCGGUGAAAUGCUUAGAUAUGACAUAGAACACCGAUAGCGAAGGCAGCUUACUACAGGAUGAUUGACGCUGAGGCACGAAAGCGUGGGGAGCAAACAGG